ACACUCCUUCCCAUACCGAACAGGAAAGUUAAGCUCUAUAGCGCCGAUGGUACUGCAUGGGAGACUGUGUGGGAGAGUAGGACGUUGCCAAGU
rnacentral:rRNA from 2 species